UGGGUUCUAAGCUCUCAACAGGGUUUUUUGAGUAAGGAUGGGAUUUAUCAUGGAAUUCGCUGAGCAUUUGGUUCUGAGGUUAAUGGAGGAUCCGAAGGAGAGGGAUCGCAAGUUCAGGGAGCAUGUAUACGCUGUGAAGGAUCGAUGCAACAAGACCAAGGAGAUGUGGAGUUACCCUCUCCGUCCUUAUGGAUUCUGGACAUUCGAGCGCCACAAUGCCCAGCUUGCUUGGGAUGCUCAGAUUAGCCAGGUGCCUGGCCGCAGGGACCCCUACGAUGACCUGCUCCAAGAAAGCUAUGGCUCCCCCAAAUGAACAUUGUGAGAGCUCAGUAACCAUUAGCUGUUUGCUACAGAGCUUUUAUUCCAGCAAGUAGAAUGAAAGUAGCAUUUUCAAUUUUUCUACUCUUGAGUCUUGUAGUUCGUCUCCUGCAUGAUUUAUCAGCUGGUUUGUAAUAAUCUUGAAUAUUCUACAUUAGUUGAUGAUUUUGAAUAAUUUGUCCAUAUUAACUCAUGUUAUGGAGCAAAUCUCUUAAUGAUAUUGCAAUGUAGAUGUUGAAUUUGUUUUUAUUAA